rnacentral:rRNA from 1 species
AGCGAACGUUAGCGGCGGGCCUAACACAUGCAAGUCGAGGGAGAAAGGGGCUUCGGCCCUGAGUAAACCGGCGGACGGGUGAGUAACACGUGGGUAAUGUACCUACCGGCGGGGGAUAACAGUCCGAAAGGAUUGCUAAUACCGCAUUCGUCGGCGGGGUCUUCGGAUCCUGCCGGGAAAGAUGGCCUCUCAGCGAAGCUAUCACCGGAGAUCAGCCCGCGUCCCAUCAGCUAGUUGGUGAGGUAAUGGCUCACCAAGGCUUAGACGGGUAGCUGGUCUGAGAGGAUGAUCAGCCACACUGGGACUGAGACACGGCCCAGACUCCUACGGGAGGCAGCAGUGGGGAAUAUUGGGCAAUGGGCGAAAGCCUGACCCAGCCACGCCGCGUGAGUGAUGAAGGCCUUCGGGUCGUAAAGCUCUGUGGGGAGGGACGAAACAGUUGCGGGAACAAUACCCCGCGACCCUGACGGUACCUCCUUAGCAAGCACCGGCUAACUCCGUGCCAGCCGCCGCCGUAA